rnacentral:rRNA from 1 species
GGUGAACGCUGGCGGCGUGCUUAAGACAUGCAAGUCGAACGGCAGUCUUCGGACUGUAGUGGCGCACGGGUGAGUAACGCGUAACUGACCUACCCCAAGGUCGCGGAUAACGAUUCGAAAGAAUCGCUAAUACGUGAUGUGCUGUCAGAUUGUGUUCUGCCAGUAAAAAUUGAUUGCUUUGGGAUGGGGUUGCGUUCCAUCAGCUAGUUGGUGGGGUAAAGGCCCACCAAGGCGACGACGGAUAGCCGGCCUGAGAGGGUGGCCGGCCACAGGGGCACUGAGACACGGGUCCCACUCCUACGGGAGGCAGCAGUUAGGAAUCUUCCACAAUGGGCGAAAGCCUGAUGGAGCGACGCCGCGUGAGGGAUGAAGGUCUUCGGAUCGUAAACCUCUGAAUCAGGGACGAAAGACACUUCGGUGGGAUGACGGUACCUGAGUAAUAGCACCGGCUAACUCCGUGCCAGCCGCCGCCGUAAUAC